AUUUCCUACGGGACGCAGCAGUGAGGAAUAUUGGUCAAUGGGCGGGAGCCUGAACCAGCCAAGCCGCGUGAGGGAAGAAGGUACAGCGUAUCGUAAACCUCUUUUGUCAGGGAACAAAGGCGGGGACUAGUCCCCGGAUGAGGGUACCUGAAGAAAAAGUAUCGGCUAACUCCGUGCCAGCAGCCGCGGUAAUACGGAGGAUGCGAGCGUUAUCCGGAUUUAUUGGGUUUAAAGGGUGCGUAGGCGGACAGUCAAGUCAGCGGUAAAAAUGCGGUGCUCAACGCCGUACAGCCGUUGAAACUGGG
rnacentral:rRNA from 1 species